rnacentral:rRNA from 1 species
AUUGAACGCUGGCGGCAGGCCUAACACAUGCAAGUCGAGCGGUUGAGGUAGCUUGCUACCGAUACAGCGGCGGACGGGUGAGUAAUACAUGGGAAUCUGCCUGGUAGUGGGGAACAACGUUUCGAAAGGAACGCUAAUACCGCAUACGCCCUACGGGGGAAAGGGGGGGAUCUUCGGACCUCUCGCUAUCAGAUGAGCCC